rnacentral:piRNA from 1 species
CUGCUGCAGAAGACCUCAGCACUGGUC